rnacentral:rRNA from 1 species
CGCCUGGGGAGUGCGGCCGCAAGGUUAAAACUCAAAUGAAUUGACGGGGGCCCGCACAAGCGGUGGAGCAUGUGGUUUAAUUCGACGCAACGCGAAGAACCUUACCUGGCCUUGACAUCCAGAGAACUUUCCAGAGAUGGAUUGGUGCCUUCGGGAACUCUGAGACAGGUGCUGCAUGGCCGUCGUCAGCUCGUGUCGUGAGAUGUUGGGUUAAGUCCCGUAACGAGCGCAACCCCUAUCCCUGGUUGCUAGCAGGUAAUGCUGAGAACUCCAGGGAGACUGCCGGUGACAAACCGGAGGAAGGUGGGGAUGACGUCAGGUCAUCAUGGCCCUUACGGCCAGGGCUACACACGUGCUACAAUGGCGCGUACAGAGGGCUGCCAACUCGCGAGAGUGAGCCAAUCCCUUAAAACGCGUCGUAGUCCGGAUCGGAGUCUGCAACUCGACUCCGUGAAGUCGGAAUCGCUAGUAAUCGCAAAUCAGAAUGUCGCGGUGAAUACGUUCCCGGGCCUUGUACACACCGCCCGUCACACCAUGGGAGUGGAUUGCACCAGAAGUAGUUAGUCUAACCUUCGGGAGGACGAUUACCACGGUGUGGUUCAUGACUGGGGUGAAGUCGUAACAAGGUAACCGUA